rnacentral:rRNA from 1 species
UACGGAAGGCAGCAGUGGGGAAUAUUGCACAAUGGGCGCAAGCCUGAUGCAGCCAUGCCGCGUGUAUGAAGAAGGCCUUCGGGUUGUAAAGUACUUUCAGUCGUGAGGAAGGUGUUAAGGUUAAUAACCUUAGCAAUUGACGUUAGCGACAGAAGAAGCACCGGCUAACUCCGUGCCAGCAGCCGCGGUAAUACGGAGGGUGCGAGCGUUAAUCGGAAUUACUGGGCGUAAAGGGCACGCAGGCGGUUAAUUAAGUUGGAUGUGAAAUCCCCGGGCUUAACCUGGGAAUGGCAUUCAAGACUGGUUAGCUAGAGUCUUGUAGAGGGGGUAGAAUUCCAUGUGUAGCGGUGAAAUGCGUAGAGAUGUGGAGGAAUACCGGUGGCGAGGCGGCCCCUGGACAAAGACUGACGCUCAUGUGCGAAGCGUGGGGAGCAAACAGGAUUAGAUACC